GACGAACGCUGGCGGCGUGCCUAAUACAUGCAAGUAGAACGCUGAAGGAGGAGCUUGCUUCUCUGGAUGAGUUGCGAACGGGUGAGUAACGCGUAGGUAACCUGCCUGGUAGCGGGGGAUAACUAUUGGAAACGAUAGCUAAUACCGCAUAAUAGUAGAUGUUGCAUGACAUUUGCUUAAAAGGUGCAAUUGCAUCACUACCAGAUGGACCUGCGUUGUAUUAGCUAGUUGGUGGGGUAACGGCUCACCAAGGCGACGAUACAUAGCCGACCUGAGAGGGUGAGCGGCCACACUGGGACUGAGACACGGCCCAGACUCCUACGGGAGGCAGCAGUAGGGAAUCUUCGGCAAUGGACGGAAGUCUGAACGAGCAACGCCGCGGGAGUGAAGAAGGUUUUCGGAUCGUAAAGCUCUGUUGUAAGAGAAGAACGAGUGUGAGAGUGGAAAGUUCACACUGUGACGGUAUCUUACCAGAAAGGGACGGCUAACUACGUG
rnacentral:rRNA from 1 species